GGCACUUUUACAUUGCACAGAUGAAAUAAAAACUUCUCCCUCUUUUAUUUUAGGGUUUGUUCAUCAAUUUUCCAUGUCGAUCUCUGAUUUUAGAGAUCUAACAACACUCCACUACAUUGCUGACUUGGAUAGUCCAAUAAAGAGGUGAGCAUAAUGAAAGAUAUAGUGAGCUUGUUUCUGCAGAACUUCUUAGUCGUUGUCUCUUUUCCAGAGGAAUGUUCAUCGAGUUUCGAAGUGGAAUGCUAAAUGUAUCACCAAUUGGGAGGAAUUGUAGUCAGGAAGAAAGGGAUGAGUUUGAAAAAUAUGACAAGGUACAAACUCUUGCUCUAAUUUAUCACAGGCCCUAAAAAAAGGUUCACAAGAUACGUGAAACAAUGGUAACAGUGCUCCGCCAAAAAUUUGAGCACCUUAACCUGACCUUUUCCAUUGGAGGCCAAAUCAUUUUUGAUGUUUUCCCUCAAGGCUGGGAUAAGACAUACUGCUUGAGAUUACUAUUGAGCACAUGGACGAGGGAGAUGCACCCAGACGCUUCCAUCUUGCUACAGUGCCUCUGUUAUCGUAUACUUGGGCCUCUCUUAGUGCCACCACUGUUACCAUCAUCCAGAGAGGCAGUGGAUCCGAUGUUGUCUUCCCACUUGGAGAAGUGGGUAGGAUUGUAUAUACAUCUCUUUAGUUGUUUACGACUUCUUGUUAUUAGACUGUUUAGCAGAUUGUUUGUAGAUCAUUGAUCAACUUUUACCCAAAACUGUUUAGCACUUCUUUGUAUUACAUUGUUUGUAGAUCAUUGAUCAACUUUUACCCAAAACUGUUCAGCACCUCUUUGUAUUACAUUGUUUGUAGAUCGUUGAUCAACUUUUACCCAAAACGAUGUAUUUUUUGUGACUAUCAAAUGUGUGUUAGUUUGUACAGCUUCGUCUAAUGCCAAAUUUC